UCUUGGACAAUGGGCGCAAGCCUGAUCCAGCCAUGCCGCGUGAAUGAUGAAGGCCUUAGGGUUGUAAAAUUCUUUCGUCGGGGACGAUAAUGACGGUACCCGAAGAAGAAGCUCCGGCUAACUUCGUGCCAGCAGCCGCGGUAAUACGAAGGGGGCUAGCGUUGUUCGGAAUUACUGGGCGUAAAGCGCGUGUAGGCGGGUCGUUAAGUCGGGGGUGAAAGCCCAGAGCUCAACUCUGGAACUGCCUUCGAUACUGGCGACCUGGAGCAUGUCAGAGGCGAGUGGAAUUGCGAGUGUAGAGGUGAAAUUCGUAGAUAUUCGCAGGAACACCAGUGGCGAAGGCGACUCGCUGGGACAUUGCUGACGCUGAGACGCGAAAGCGUGGGGAGCAAACA
rnacentral:rRNA from 1 species